rnacentral:rRNA from 1 species
CCCGAAAACCUGUCUCAGUUCGGAUUGGAGUCUGCAACCCGACUCCAUGAAGCUGGAUUCGCUAGUAAUCGCGCAUCAGCCAUGGCGCGGUGAAUACGUUCCCGGGCCUUGUACACACCGCCCGUCAAGCCAUGAAAGCCGGGGGCGCCUGAAGUCCGGGACCGCGAGGACCGGCCUAGGGCGAAACUGGUAACUGGGGCUAAGUCGUAACAAGGUAAC